GUACAAUCCCCGCCGGAUCUACCACCAUCAACUGGAUCAAUCGAGUAUUCGGCAUCCGUUGAUGGAAGUCCUAAGAGUGAUGACAAGAAAAGGAGUGACCAAGAUCAUCAUGCGCUCAUUAAUAUUUCAAAGAAGAGAAAAUCACAGCCCACAUGGACUGAACAAGUCAAAGUCAGCGCGGAGAGCGGAUUUGAAGGUCCUACUGAUGAUG
rnacentral:misc_RNA from 1 species